GAUGAACGCUAGCUACAGGCUUAACACAUGCAAGUCGAGGGGCAGCAUGGUCUUAGCUUGCUAAGGCCGAUGGCGACCGGCGCACGGGUGAGUAACACGUAUCCAACCUGCCGUCUACUCUUGGACAGCCUUCUGAAAGGAAGAUUAAUACAAGAUGGCAUCAUGAGUCCACAUGUUCACAUGAUUAAAGGUAUUCCGGUAGACGAUGGGGAUGCGUUCCAUUAGAUAGUAGGCGGGGUAACGGCCCACCUAGUCUUCGAUGGAUAGGGGUUCUGAGAGGAAGGUCCCCCACAUUGGAACUGAGACACGGUCCAAACUCCUACGGGAGGCAGCAGUGAGGAAUAUUGGUCAAUGGGCGAGAGCCUGAACCAGCCAAGUAGCGUGAAGGAUGACUGCCCUAUGGGUUGUAAACUUCUUUUAUAAAGGAAUAAAGUCGGGUAUGGAUACCCGUUUGCAUGUACUUUAUGAAUAAGGAUCGGCUAACUCCGUGCCAGCAGCCGCGGUAAUACGGAGGAUCCGAGCGUUAUCCGGAUUUAUUGGGUUUAAAGGGAGCGUAGAUGGAUGUUUAAGUCAGUUGUGAAAGUUUGCGGCUCAACCGUAAAAUUGCAGUUGAUACUGGAUAUCUUGAGUGCAGUUGAGGCAGGCGGAAUUCGUGGUGUAGCGGUGAAAUGCUUAGAUAUCACGAAGAACUCCGAUUGCGAAGGCAGCCUGCUAAGCUGCAACUGACAUUGAGGCUCGAAAGUGUGGGUAUCAAACAGGAUUAGAUACCCUGGUAGUCCACACGGUAAACGAUGAAUACUCGCUGUUUGCGAUAUACAGCAAGCGGCCAAGCGAAAGCGUUAAGUAUUCCACCUGGGGAGUACGCCGGCAACGGUGAAACUCAAAGGAAUUGACGGGGGCCCGCACAAGCGGAGGAACAUGUGGUUUAAUUCGAUGAUACGCGAGGAACCUUACCCGGGCUUAAAUUGCAGAUGAAUUACGGUGAAAGCCGUAAGCCGCAAGGCAUCUGUGAAGGUGCUGCAUGGUUGUCGUCAGCUCGUGCCGUGAGGUGUCGGCUUAAGUGCCAUAACGAGCGCAACCCUUGUCGUCAGUUACUAACAGGUUCCGCUGAGGACUCUGACAAGACUGCCAUCGUAAGAUGUGAGGAAGGUGGGGAUGACGUCAAAUCAGCACGGCCCUUACGUCCGGGGCUACACACGUGUUACAAUGGGGGGUACAGAGGGCCGCUACCACGCGAGUGGAUGCCAAUCCCAAAAACCUCUCUCAGUUCGGACUGGAGUCUGCAACCCGACUCCACGAAGCUGGAUUCGCUAGUAAUCGCGCAUCAGCCACGGCGCGGUGAAUACGUUCCCGGGCCU
rnacentral:rRNA from 1 species